rnacentral:rRNA from 1 species
UGCAAGUCGAACGCGAAAGUGGAGCAAUCCAUGAGUAGAGUGGCAAACGGGUGAGUAACACGUGGGUGACCUGCCUUCGAGUGGGGGAUAACGUCCCGAAAGGGACGCUAAUACCGCAUAACAUGCUGUCUUUUAAGAGAUAGACAUCAAAGCCGGGGACCGCAAGGCCUGGCGCUUGAAGAGGGGCCCGCGCCUGAUUAGCUAGUUGGUGGGGUAAUGGCUCACCAAGGCAACGAUCAGUAUCCGGCCUGAGAGGGCGGACGGACACACUGGGACUGAGACACGGCCCAGACUCCUACGGGAGGCAGCAGUGGGGAAUUGUUCGCAAUGGGCGCAAGCCUGACGACGCAACGCCGCGUGGAGGAUGAAGACCUUCGGGUCGUAAACUCCUUUCGAUCGAGACGAAUGGCCUCUGGGCUAACAUCCCGGAGGAAUGACGGUACCGAGAGAAGAAGCCCCGGCUAACUCCGUGCCAGCAGCCGCGGUAAUACGGGGGGGGCAAGCGUUGUUCGGAAUUACUGGGCGUAAAGGGCUCGUAGGCGGCCAACUAAGUCAUGCGUGAAAUCCCUCGGCUUAACCGGGGAACUGCGUCUGAUACUGGAUGGCUUGAGUUCGGGAGAGGGAUGCGGAAUUCCAGGUGUAGCGGUGAAAUGCGUAGAUAUCUGGAGGAACACCGGUGGCGAAGGCGGCAUCCUGGACCGAUACUGACGCUGAGGAGCGAAAGCCAGGGGAGCAAACGGGAUUAGAUACCCCGGUAGUCCUGGCCCUAAACGAUGAAUGCUUGGUGUGGCGGGUAUCGAUCCCUGCGUGCCGAACUAACGCAUUAACAUUCGCCUGGGGAGUA